ensembl:lncRNA
UGGUGACAGUAGAAAUGCAGAAAGCUGAACACGGUUGGAUUAGAUGGAACUUUGAGGAAAUCAAAUUUGAAUCGAGAAUAAGACGUGUGUUCAGCACCGGGGGAUGAUGGAGAGGAGGGCGAUGAGCAUCAAUGGAGAGGAACAAGGUUGACCUUCCACCUCGGCUUGUCGCCGCAGAGAUGGCAGCAGCCUCUCAGACCGACAGAGCGUGAAGUCAUCAGCGCUCCCCUCCUCUUCCUCACCCACUGGACAUAUGGACGUCCCCCGCUGUGUCUCUUUCUCCGUCUCGUUCAAAGUGUAAUGUGCUGCAGCGGACUAAAAGACUGCGCUGGUGGCACGCGAUGAUGAGGAUGAGGAAGGAGGUGUGACACUGAGGCGCAGAUGAAUUUGUAUUCCUCAUUCUACCUCCCACUGUGAUUCUCUUACCUCUCUCUUUUUCUAUUUAUUGAGACUCUUUUAGAAUAAAUAAAAACAACAGGAUGUAGGAUUCUCAUUUGACUUUGGACUUAAAAUGCUGUUGAUCAUUAUUGAACUAAAUCCAAUUUAUAUUAUUUAAGACUUCUCUUCUCCCCGCUAUCGCUUCAAUUUCUCUCAUCAUUCAUUCCCGAUCUCUCCUUUAUCCUUUUCUCUCUCCCUCUCCUUCCCUUCCUCCAUCUGUCAAAUAAUGUGUUGGUGAUGAUCACCUUUGCAAGAUAAAUGGGUCUUUUUUCCCCUCUGUGUUAUUCAAUCUGCGCGUGUAAGACCUGUAUACAUGCAUGA